UUUUGCAGUAUGUAACUCUAAAUUAAGUUAAUAAAGUUUGAUUAAGUAGCAUGUACUUGUUAUUUUGAAAUGAUAGUUGAAAUGGGAGAAUAAAUGGAGGGAGCAAAGUCAUCAUUGGAGCAACAUUGCUAAUAUAUAGCAUUUUGUCUCUUUUUAUUGCUAAAUUAUAACAAUAUUCAACAUGUAGCUAUUGAACCAUUGGAGACUAGAAAAUUCACAAGACAGCACUAGGAAACCAUAGGAGAUUUUUUUUACUUGACAGGAAUACAAGAACUGAUAGGCUGCUUCUUAGUAGUGAUAUGGCUUUGAUAACAUGUAAAUAUUGGAAACAAAAAGUGGAAUUAAAAUUUGGUUAAAAAAAACUAAUGGCUUUGCACAGAAAACAACACCUGACCUAAUAUUACACUAGUGAUUGUGUAAACCAAGUCAAAUCUAAUUUACUAUAAACUUACAACUAAAUGAUUCUUGAGUAUUCCAAUACAAAUUUAAGUAAUUUCAUAUCUUUGAACAAUGCUUUUCAAAUGAUAAUUUAAUUGUGUCUUGGUUGUGCCACUUGAUAGUAAAUUUGUUUGUGCUAGGUGUUUAACCCAAUUUAACAGGGAUUGGCACAGGGGAAUGGCCCUUUUUCUUUGUUUAUUUAUGUUAGGUGUUCUAAUAUCAUAUUAGAUGAUGUUAUUGUUAAUGUCUACUUUUCUUUUUUAAAUUGCAGCAAAAUUAAAAUGGUAAUAGAGCUGCUUGAGGGCAUUCAUUUUGUUUCUUCUGUGGAGGCCAUUUCUCUUGGUGCCCAAGCUGGUAUUCAUCCAUGGAUAAUUUAUGACAUUAUUUCUAAUACUGCUGGAAAUUCAUGGGUAUUGUUUUGGAUAUGGCCAAAUCAUGUACAUUUCCUCUUCCACUUCUGGCAGUUGCUUUUCAACAUCUAAUAGCAGGCUCCUCUCAUGGUCAUGGAAAUGAUGGUGAUGACACAUUCAUCAAGCUUGUUUGGUGGAUACUUUUGUGGCAUGAUGCUGUGUUGCGUUGAAUCUGGUGCUGAUUGGCUCUGUUCUGUGUGCUCUGCCUCUGAUGCAGCUUUUGAUUGAUGCGAUCUGUUUGUCCUGAUUUCUGAUUUGGUUGAGUUGUUUUGUUGCUGGUUUUGUUUGAUUUGUUUUCUGACUGUUUUAGUAAAUGAGGUAAACUGCUGCGUCAAUUCUGAUUUGGUUAUAUGAUUUUGUUUGGGUUGCCAAGUUGAAAUGGUUUUCUGAACUGGUGAUGAUCUGUGUUG